UGUGGAUAGGGGUGAAAGGCCAAUCAAACUCAGUGAUAGCUGGUUCUCUUCGAAAUAGCUUUAGGGCUAGCCUUGCGUAAAUAGUUUGUGGGGGUAGAGCUACUGAUUGUUCGCGGGCCCUUACCGGGGUACCAAGAACUAUUAAACUCCGAAUACCAUGAACCGUACCGCAGGAGUCAGACUAUGGGGGAUAAGCUUCAUGGUCGAGAGGGAGACAGCCCAGACCGCCGGCUAAGGUCCCCAAUCCGGACUUAGUGGUUUGAAGGAUGUGAUGUUGCAUAAACAGCCAGGAUGUUGGCUUAGAGGCAGCCAUCAUUUAAAGAGUGCGUAAUAGCUCACUGGUCGAGUGAUAUCGCGCCGAAGAUGAUCGGGACUGAAGUCCAGAACCGAAGCCGCGGAUCGUGAAUUUAUUCACGGUGGUAGAAGAGCGUUGUAUGCGGGUCGAAGCCGAAGAGGGAUCUGAGGUGGACUGCAUACAAGUGACCAUGCAGGCAUGAGUAGCGAAAAACCGGAUGAGAAUUCCGGUCACCGAAAACCUAAGGUUUCCCGGGGAAGGUUCGUCCGCCCGGGGUUAGUCGGAACCUAAGGCGAGGCCGAAAGGCGUAGUCGAUGGAGGACAGGUUAAUAUUCCUGUACCACCUUGUUGGAGUGAUGGAGGGACGCAGUAAGUCAGGUGAGCCAACUGCUGAAUAUGUUGGUCGAAGGCCGUAGGGCGCACGAUAGGCAAAUCCGUCGUGCUUUCAACCCGAGAGUCGUAAGGUAGCCGAACGCAAGUUUGGCGAAUUCACUGUGACGACGCUGACGAGAAAAGCUUCUAAACGUUGAAAACAGGGUGCCCGUACCGAAACCGACACAGGUAGGUGAGGCGAGUAGCCUAAGGUGCGCGAGAGAAACCAACGUUAAGGAACUCGGCAAAUUGACCCCGUAACUUAGGGAUAAGGGGUGCCGCUUCAGGUGAAGGGACUUGCUCCCGGAGCCCGGAGCGGUUGCAACAAAGAGGCUGGUGCGACUGUUUAACAAAAACACAGCUCUAUGCUAACUCGCAAGAGGAUGUAUAUGGAGUGACACGUGACCAAUGCCAAAAGGUCAAUGGGAGAGGUUAGCGCAAGCGAAGCUUCGAUCUGAAGCCCUGGUGAAUGUCGGCCGUAACUAUAACGGUCCUAAGGUAGCGAAAUUCCUUGUCGGGUAAGUUCCGACCUGCACGAAUCGUGUAACGAUGCCAGCACUGUCUCAACGUGGAUCUCGGCGAAGUUGUAAUUCCGGUGAAAAUGCCGGAUACCUGCGGAAGGACGGAAAGACCCCAUGAACCUUUACUGUAAUCUGAUAUUGGUAUUUGAUUGCUCUUGUGUAGCAUAGGUGGGAGGCAGUGAAACCGCUACGCCAGUACCGGUGGAGCCACAGGUGAAAUACCACCCUGGUGUAAUUAGAUAUCUAACGGUGUCCCGUGAAUCCGGGCCCCGGACCGUGUCAGAGGGUCAGUUUGACUGGGGCGGUUUCCUCCUAAAUUGUAACGGAGGAGCCCGAAGGUACACUCAGCACGGUUGGCAAUCGUGUGCAGAGCGUAAGGGUAAAAGUGUGCUUUACUGUAAGACCGACAGGUCGAGCAGUUGCGAAAGCAGGGCCUAGUGAUCCAGCGAUGGAAUGUGGAAUCGUCGUUGCUCAACGGAUAAAAGGUACUCUGGGGAUAACAGGCUGAUAGCGCCCAAGCGUCCAUAGCGACGGCGCUGUUUGGCACCUCGAUGUCGACUCAUCACAUCCUGGGGCUGUAGAAGGUCCCAAGGGUUCGGCUGUUCGCCGAUUAAAGUGGUACGCGAGUUGGGUUCAGAACGUCGUGAGACAGUUCGGUCCUUAUCCUCCGCAGGCGCAGGAUAUUUGAUGGGAUCAUUCCUUAGUACGAGAGGACCGGGAAUGACUGACCUCUGGUGUUCCGGUUGUGGCGUCAGCUGCAUUGCCGGGUAGCUAUGUCGGGAACGGAUAAGCGCUGAAAGCAUCUAAGCGCCAAGCCCACCCAAAGACGAGAUAUCCCUUCCCGCAAGGGACUGAAGGCCGGUCGAAGACUACGACCUUGAUAGGACGGAGAUGUAAGCGCAGCAAUGCGUUCAGUUUACCGUUACUAAUCGGCCGUGAGGCUUAACCAC
rnacentral:rRNA from 1 species